rnacentral:lncRNA from 1 species
AAUGAUCCAAGGAUCAGUAAUACCAGCUGAUAAAUUUAGGAUAGAAUUCCACAGCAUCCUCCUUUGGUCACAGUCAUUAAAUCCAUAAACUACUAAAAGCCAGCAGAUAGUAUCACUAAUGAUAUAUUGAACUUGACAAUGAAUGAUCUAAGCUUCCUCAAGAUAUCCAGUAACCACCACUUUUGUAGGAUCCCACAGAAUCCAAAACCUCCCAUUUACAGCACCACUAUAGUUAGUUAUCAUGUUCCAGUUAGGCAACAAAAAACUAGC